GCACUCUUGAUCUCCAUAGUAUCCCCCCUGUCGAUCGUGGAAAUCUCCAUAUCUAUCACGGUCUCCGGCGUCUCCACAUCAACAAAGUGACGAGUCAUCCUCGUGCUCGGCUCGUAGUUAUACUGCUGCCCAUCGAGCUCCGUCACGGUUAAACUUGGCAUUCCGGUCUUCCAAGGGAGCAUAAACAGGACUGUUUCGAUCUCCACCUUGGCCACCGUCCCCUGGCUGGUCAGAGCGAAGAGCAUUCCUUCUAUCUCUCUCAUGUCAGUGAUGAACCAGUCCUCAUUCGCAUACCGGUGGAUGCUCCACUCGGCCUCUCCCGGUCGCCGGAGUUUCAAGAUCGGCUCGCCCAUCUUGAGCGCCACCACCGU
rnacentral:lncRNA from 1 species